UCAUGAAAAGUAUGGCAGACAUGUUUUUCUUCUUCCUAACAUUCUGUAAAAACAACGUAUAAGAAUUCAAUUUAACGUUUUGUGGAUGUAAUUUGUGCAGCAUCCAAAUGACAGGUGAACAAGAUUAAAAAAUAAAAAACAAACUCAAAAUUUUCUCUCUAAGCUUACAAUCAGCAGCAAACAGACAACGCCAAAAGCUGCGUACAUAACAAAUCAAAACUUUGCUAUUACCUACAACUAAGUGGGGUGGGGAGCCUUGUCUUCAAUAUGUACAGGGAUGAUUGGGAUUGAAUCCCACCAUUCUUUUAACCUUCUGUUUCCCUGGUCGUUUUGGAAGUGCUGCCCCAGUUUCGAUGUCAUAAUGAAACAGUAUAGUGUGAUUGCCAUGACGAUGUGCUUUAAGGGUAUCACUGCAAAGAUGACCGCCAAUAGAGUCAUUGCUGCCAUUGCCAUGUCUGCGUGCUGUAAAUAAGGAUAAGUACUUCAAUUGAUCAUGUCAGUAAGGAUUUGAAGCUUGAGUGGUGAAACAAAUAUCAGAAGAAUACAGCAACACGAGAGAAGUUGAUUAAUAAAGGUUUGCUGUAACUAACCCUUCUAACAAUCACCUACACCAGUUUUCAGCAAUGGUUUGCUUUUGAAAACUGGAAUUACAAGUAGGUAAAACAAUUAUGUACCUUACUUGCCCUUGAGCACAUUAUAGACCAGAUUUUCAGUAUUGCUAAAUUUGUGGCCUGCAUCAUCUCAUGAGCUGUUCGCAAUCCAAAUUGAGCUGCUACUAUGCUUUCCACUGUAGUGUUUUCGUCUGAGCCAGUAUACACUACUAUCUCAUUGUAUUUGUCAUGAAGCCUUCCUAGUCUUGCUUGAAGCAUCUUUGAUACUAUCCAUAAUAGGAAAGCAGCUAUAGCCUUUCCAAUCCAUUCCUUGUAGACAAUUACUAACGUUGCAACUAACAUUGUGAUGGUGAUGCCUGGUCUUUCCCAUGAAAUGACUUCUUGAAACCAAGAUACUACACUUUUCAGUGGCUGUAGCAAUUCCAUAAGAACAGUGGCACUUUCACUGAUUCCUUCCUCUUUCAACCCCUCGGCGGUAGCUUUGGCAAUUUCAACAUCCUUUGCUUCCUUUCUAGCUUGAUUAAUGGCACUCUCCAAUAAGUGAAUGCUGUCUUGAUCACUUGUACGUUCCUUGUCCGCUUCUGUAACUUCUAUGCUUGAGACUACUGGCUGCAGAGACAUGUUCAAGCUCCUUAAAACUGAGCUAGCACUACAUGGAUGUCCACUAUUAACUUUCUUCAGGCUCUCAGCUAGCUCUUCUAGUACAUAGUCUCCCUUAGGCAACUCGUCAAACAAAGCAAAGAUCAAGAACUUUGUAGGCGCUGGGGGUGAUAUUCUAAGCAUUUCUCUCGCAGCAUGGAGCCUUAUGAUCCCCAAUAUUGUUCUAGCAUGCAUUUCCCAUGAUUGUAUUGGACAUUCCACCUUAUUCUCAGAUAAGAAUUGGUUCAUUAGCAUAACUUCCUUGGUAAGUGCAAGCCAAUGAUCACGUCUAGUGGAGCUAGUCAUCUCUGGAAACUCCAACACAAUUCCUUCAGAUCUAGAAAAAAAUGCAAUAAUAGUAAAACUAAGGUGCAUAUGCAAGAUAACCUAUCCUCGGAUUAAUAUUGCAUACAUCAUAUCAGCUCACAGGCACACUUUUAACAACAACAAAAUUGAUCCAUUAAAAAUAAGUAUAAUGAUCCAGAAAAUCAAUAGUAAAUUAACUUUUAAGCACAUGAUGCAUUAUUCAACAUGAUAAAAAUGUCGACGACUUUGCUUAUGCGAAUUGAUUCUUACAGUUCAGGAGACUCGUAGAUUAUGGCCUUAUCAAAAAGUGGAGCACCCCAUGGACCAGUAGCAGUUGGCUUCACAGUGUGUUCAAUAUCUUUUGAAAGGUCAAUUUUAAGGGCAUCAUCAUAUGUUAUUGCUCCCGAAGCCUCAAAGUAUAGAGCAUAAUUGGUUAGUGUAAGCCUACCUAGAAAAUUUUAAAAAAAUAUAUAAAAUAGACUAAAAUAAGAACCACCAAAUCAUGCCUUCAGAAAUUGUAAGUGCAGUAAGAAACAGAUCAAUUACCAGGCCAACUUGUUCCUCCAAUAUGGCGAACUAUUCUCUGUGAGCUUGCAGUCCCCUCAACAUGCAAAAUAAACUCAUCAUCUGCAAGCUCCACACCCUUUGGCUUUGUUUGCUUUUGCAAAUGCUUUAUGCAUUUGGCAAUUUCUUUCAAGAAUUUGUCAUAGGCAGGGAAGAAAAGGCGGUUGCCUGUAGGUGCUGUAAGAGUUUCAAAUGUGAAUCUUCCAUUAACAACAUCUGUAGCAAAUGGAACCAAUGCAGCCAACCACACAAAUGCAUCUUCUCCAACACUUGGCUCAUCAUUAACAAGAAGCGGCAUAACAUCUGAAUAGAAAAGAGGGAUCUCGUCUUCUUCUUGCGCGACUUUUGGCGGUAUCUUCCCGUCUUCUCUCGCCUUUCCCUCACACUCCAUACGGGACUCUUCAUCCCUAGAGCUGGGCAUCUCCCAUGCAAGCAUUGUAUCGAACGUGAAUCGGCUAAAUGACCCAUCAGUAAUCUUUUCCUCUAUAUACUUACAUUCUUCGUGAAGUGCCUUUGAGGCACAAAAUUCCACGAAUUUCCUCGAGUACCCACUGGUUUCACUCUCAGGCUUCGACUUCCACCCUGCUUCAAACUCCUCCACCAAUUUAUCCACACUAGUAUUUAACUUUAGGGCAGAAUUGCGGAUGACGUCUAUGGCAAUGGAAGAGAGAUGCUUCAUGUUGUUUGAGAUGGGAACUUCACAUGGGGA
rnacentral:misc_RNA from 1 species